AGAGUUUGAUCCUGGCUCAGGAUGAAUGCUGGCGGCGUGGAUGAGGCAUGCAAGUCGAAUGGGUUUAGGCCCAUGGCAGACGAGGUAGGAACACGUAGGUACGUACCCCAAAGUCAGGGAUAAUCCGCCGAAAGGCGGGAUAAUACUUGAUGGUCUCUUCGGAGUAAAGAUUUAUCGCUUUGGGAACGGCCUGCGGGCUAUCAGCUUGUUGGUAAGGUAACGGCUUACCAAGGCUACGACGGCUAGGGGAGGUGAGAGCCUGACCCCCACCGAUGGAACUGCGACACGGUCCAUACUCCUACGGGAGGCUGCAGUCGAGAAUCUUCCGCAAUGGACGAAAGUCUGACGGAGCGACGCCGCGUGGUGGAUGAAGUCCCUCGGGACGUAAACACCUUUUAUGAGGGAGGAAGUCAUUGACGUUACCUCAUGAAUAAGGGGCUCCUAACUCUGUGCCAGCAGGAGCGGUAAUACAGAGGCCCCAAGCAUUAUCCGGAUUUACUGGGCGUAAAGGGUGCGUAGGCGGUUAUAUUAGUCAGGUGUUAAAUCCUGGGGCUCAACCCCAGAAUCGCAUUUGAAACGGUAUAACUAGAAUAAGUCAGAGGCAAGCAGAACUCACGGUGUAGGGGUGAAAUCCGUUGAUAUCGUGGGGAAUACCAAAUGCGAAGGCAGCUUGCUGGGACUUUAUUGACGCUAAGGCACGAAAGCGUGGGUAGCG
rnacentral:rRNA from 1 species